AUUGAACGCUGGCGGCAUGCCUUACACAUGCAAGUCGAACGGUAACAGGUUAAGCUGACGAGUGGCGAACGGGUGAGUAAUAUAUCGGAACGUGCCCAGUCGUGGGGGAUAACGUAGCGAAAGCUACGCUAGUACCGCAUACGAUCUACGGAUGAAGGGGGGGGAGCGUAAGCCCUCGAGCGAUUGGAGCGGCCGAUAUCAGAUUAGGUUGAUGGUGAGGCAAAAGCUAACCAAGUCUGCGAUCUGUAGCGGGUAUGAGAGGAAGACCAGCCACACUGAAGCUGAGACACGGUCCAGACUCCUACGGGAGGCAGCAGUGGGGAAUUUUGGACAAUGGACGCAAGUCUGAUCCAGCAACGCCGCGUGCAGGACGAAGGCCUUCGGGUUGUAAACUGCUUUUGUACGGAACGAAACGGUGAGCUCUAAUACAGUUUGCUAAUGACGGUACCGUAAGAAUAAGCACCGGCUAACUACGUGCCAGCCGCCGCAGUAA
rnacentral:rRNA from 1 species